rnacentral:rRNA from 1 species
GACAGAGGAUGCAAGCGUUAUCCGGAAUGAUUGGGCGUAAAGCGUCUGUAGGUGGCCUGGAAGGUCAGCUGUGAAAACUCGAGGCUCAACCUCGAGACGUCGGUUGAAACCACCUGGCUAGAGUCCGGAAGAGGAGUGUGGAAUUCCUGGUGUAGCGGUGAAAUGCGCAGAUAUCAGGAGGAACACCGGUGGCGAAGGCGGAUCUCUGGGCCGUAACUGACGCUGAGGAGCGAAAGCAUGGGGAGCGAACAGG